GACGAUGCUAAUGUAGUAUAACAAUUAAAAAUUCACAGUUGGCAUUUUAAUUGCGGACACAUUACAACAUAUACUGAAAGCUGAUAAAAUGUUUUGUUUGUGGCGGUCUCUUUUAGUUUUGAAGAUAUUUGCGAAAUACUUUCGGUACUACUGCAGAGAAUUCGGCGCAUGCGUGAGCGUCGGUGAGAGCGCUCGGUAUUCGUGUUGGUGGGAGGUAGCCGACCGCUUAUCUUUUGUUUAGACACGGAUGACCGAGUGACUCCACUACACGGUGGCCCAGAAAUAUUUACUCUAAAACGAGGGUCGUGGAAUCGUAAAGGCUCCGUUCAAAACUGCAUGUACGAGGACUCUAAGAAAUGUCUAUUAAAACUCAGUUAGAAGUGAACAUUAUUAAUGUAUUUCUGCAGCAGAAUAACUUGAUGCUGCCAAUAACGAUUUGAUUGCAAUAUGGCAAACUUGGUAAUUAAUAAGUCGUAAAAAAACUGCGGAACGUUAUAGGUACGGCUGAAAACAUAAUUGUAACGAUUGUAUUAGAAGUUGGCAGCACUUCUGAUGUAUGUACAUGUACUUAAUCCGCAAUGGGUAUGUCGAUUCCCGUUGAAUAUUGCUAACUUGAAAUUAUCAAAUGUAACUGGCGUGUCAUAGGUUGCCAACCCCUGAACUAGGAUCUUCUGAGUAGAAGAAAAGUUUUUAAUAGGUUUUAUUAAUAGCUGUGGAGUAUUGGUAUAAAUAAAAUAGGAAUUAUUUUAUAUUUCUUAGCGCAUUUUGUUAACACAGCAAGAGGUUUUAUUAAUAAUUGUUACGUAGUUGUAUAAACGAAAUAAUUAUUUUACACUUGGAUGUACUUCCAAAAGCGACAACCCUCCGAUUUUUUUGAAAUUUUUGCCAAAGCUUAUCCUUGAUUAGAGAAGAAAGUCCCUAAAAGGAUUUUUGGCGACAAAGCCUCGUUUGCCCCCCAGCCCCCUUCAAAGUUUUGACAGUUCUUACUAAAUAUCUCCGAAAAUAUUGAUUUUAGAGAAAAACGUUUCAAACAAAAAAUAUUACUCAUAAAACGCUCUACAAAGAAGGUUAUACACAUUUUUUACCUAAACCUAUUAUUUUGGCUGUUAUGAACAAUAAUAGUAUUUUUUCAAUAAAUCGGAGGGUUGUCGCUUCCGGAACUUCAUCCUUACACUUUUUAGGGCAUCUGGAAGUCGGUUGUAUUUUUUGAAAAAAAUUAUUUUAUUUCACACUUUGGUAAUUAUUGAGAUUAGGUUA